UCACAGGCAGCUGCCCAGGAGCUGCCCUCAUUUUAGGCUGGCCUGUAGACUGACGUGACUUCACAGUGUGCAUGCAGCUCCCUGGAGAACAGUCAGGUAGUCACAAGUGCAAUGCUGGUCCAUGACCUGGAGCUGUUGGAGGUGACAUCUUUCAUCAACAUUCUGGUCACAGUCAGAGAAGGUACUGCUUUUCAUGAGGGAGAUGAGGACUAAAGCCCUGGAGAUCUACUUCAUCAGACUCCCAUCAGCCGUAACUGAAGAUGCCUGUACUUACUUCGAGUCAGUUAAGAACAAAGACACACAUUAGCCUAAACUGGUUUCAGUGCUGAGCUUACCCUGUCUGUGUAUAUAAUUUUAUAUCACUUUGCUUGAUAUUCAUAAUGGAGGGCAUAGUCAAGACGUUUCUCAGUGAUAACUUUCUGCUCUUCUUUUGUCCCAUAUAAACUUGCCUUCAAUGUACAACAACUACAUGAAGUUCAGACAUAGCCUAGCUUUCUAUCAAGAUUGCAGCUAAAUUGUCCUACAUGAGAUUUUGAAUUGUUUAGUCCCAUGUGAAGGUUCAGAUGUGGAUGUAUGCUAGUGUGUAGGAUGGCAUUGAUUUGUGGCUACUGAUUCUCCUGUACAUAAUAAAAAACUGAGAAAGCAUUGACAUAGGAAAGAGUUUAUGUCUGUAAAUAGGUUUCUAUGAUGCUCCUUGUGAUUUCUCAUGGAGAAAGAAAUGAGACCAUUAACAUUAUAAAUUUUGACUUCAUCCAGAAUGCAGGCUAGAGAUCCAGACUACCUCCAUAUCUGCUCCAUAAAAAAAGUAUGUAUAGAUAUGGAAGUGAAACAACAUAAUUGUUUGGGUUCCUUUUGGUUUUGCUUUUUUGGAGGGGGAAAGAGAUGGUUAAUCUAGGCUAGAGGAUGAUGUCCAGAAAGAGCUAGGGAAUGAGCACAAGUAGUAGGUCUCAGAGCAGUAGCUGUUAACUUGCUUUCUGGUUUUCCUCCAGCUACCUCUCCUAGACUGUCUAAAUAUGUUUGAGGUGACAAUAUACUAUUGAGACUGUUUCCAAAGUUCAGUACCAGCAAAGCUGCAGUAAAUCUCUUUUCAUGUACAGUUCUCUGCCUCUAUCCUAAAUGCCUGUCACCAUCAAAUACUCUUGUAGGCCAUGCAAAAUUAU